rnacentral:rRNA from 1 species
UUGAUCUGAAAUCAAGUAGGAUUACCCGCUGAACUUAAGCAUAUCAAUA